GUUAGGAAUAUUGGACAAUGGGCGCAAGCCUGAUCCAGCCAUGCCGCGUGAACGAUGAAGGCCUUCGGGUUGUAAAGUUCUUUAGCCGAUGAUUAUAAUGACUGUAGUCGGAAAAUAAGCCCCGGCUAACUUCGUGCCAGCAGCCGCGGUAAUACGAAGGGGGCGAGCGUUAUUCGGAAUCACUGGGCGUAAAGCGUGCGUAGGCGGUCUCGUAAGUUAGGAGUGAAAGCCCAGGGCUCAACCUUGGAAUUGCUCUUAAUACUGCAAGGCUAGAAUCUCGGAGAGGAUAGCGGAAUUUCCAGUGUAGCAGUGAAAUGCGUAGAUAUUGGAAGGAACACCAGUGGCGUAAGCGGCUAUCUGGACGAGUAUUGACGCUGAGGCACGAAAGCGUGGGGAUCAAACAGGAUUAGAUACCCGGGUAGUCC
rnacentral:rRNA from 1 species